AAAUGAGCUAGUAUUAGGCUAAGUUGGAGAUCCUUAUGUGUUGUCUUGGCUUAAUGAUUUGACAUCAGCUGCAGACAUGAUGCACCCACAGUUGCUGAAAAAGCUCGUAAUGAAUAACUUCUGUACUAUUCCUGCUAAACUUCUUUUGCAGUUGACCACCGCUUUCUGAGAAGGGGGACUCCGUGACAGAAGUGGUAAAAUAUUCUACAAGGAUAAUCUUCACAAAUGCAAUGUACCCGUGCUGGCUGUUGCUGGAGAUAAAGACAUAAUCUGCCGACCAGAAGCAGUACACGAAACUGUAAAGCUUAUCCCCGAGCACUUGGCCACCUACAAAGUAUUGGGGAUGCUAAUGGUCAUUAUGCUCAUUAUGACUUGGUGGGGGGACGCAUGGCUGCGGAACAUGUAUAUCCUUGUAUAAUCCAAUAUUCAUCUGAAGUCACAGCCUGAUAACUUUUGGCAGUUACAGUUGCUAUCUGUUGAGGAUCUGCAUUUGUUUAGGGAAAUGCUCUAUGCUUAUUUGAUUAAUAGGCACAAAAGAAUUCCUAAUAUUAGAUUGGGCUAGAUAGGUUACCUGCACUCGCAUAGAAUCCCUAAAUGAACAAAACAUCUUAAUAGGAGAAAAGUUCGUUUUCU